ACCCCUCUUCCUCCUCCCGCGCGCCGCGCUCUCUUCCUCCGCCCCCGCUGCUGGUCCUUCGCGCCCUCCCACUGCCUUCCACCGUAGCCCCUCGUUGACCAAGGAUGCGGGUGCGGCCGCAUCCUCGUAGGGCUCCCUCCCCACGAGUGGCGUGUUGGGCUGGGGAGACCUACGCGUUGUGGGUUGCGGUGGCUCCCCUUCGUCUACAGAGCGAGGCGGCGGGGGACAGGGCGCCGCCGCUCCCCUUCGUCGCGACGAGCAGGCGGUAAAGCGGGUGGUGCUAGUGCGGCACGGGCAGAGCCCUCCUCUUCCUAAGCAGACUCACGAAUUGAUUUGCUUUUUUUUUCAGAUUGCAGAUCCACGAAUUAAUUUGCUUUCUUUUUUUUCCAGAUUUGCUGGCCUGCAGUAGCUGUCCUGUUGGAUCAAGCCCCAGGCGGACUGUGUUUGGUUUGUUCGGUCCACAGCAGCAGCGCAUCUCCCUCAGGCCUAGCUCUGGGGCAUGACGAGAGGGGUCUAAAAUGUUGUUAACUUGUGCUGAUCUGCUAGCUCUGAGUAACAGGAUGAGCAACAAGAUGUGCAGGAGUUAGCUAUGCUCCUUUCCAGUGAAAGAUAUGCAACUAACGGUCCAUUGGAUCCUAAAUUUUGCUCGUCUGGUGGAAUUGCUUCAAAAUUUUGCUCUUCUAGUGGUAUUUGGUGAUGUUGUAUGAUCUUUUCUUGAGCAUUUGUUGUAUGAAAAAAAUGAGAUUCUGUCAUUAGUGUGCUACUGGAUAAAAACAUGUGAUGUGAUUUUGUAUAAAAUUCUGUAUUGGUAGUGUUGAUUAUAUAGGCUUUAUAUCUUUUAUUGGGCUAGAAAAGUAAUUCUGAAAA